rnacentral:rRNA from 1 species
GAGGAAAAGAAACCAACAGGGAUUGCCCUAGUAACGGCGAGUGAAGCGGCAACAGCUCAAAUUUGAAAUCUGGCUCUCGGGCCCGAGUUGUAAUUUGUAGAGGAUGCUUUUGGUGAGGUGCCUUCCGAGUUCCCUGGAACGGGACGCCAUAGAGGGUGAGAGCCCCGUCUGGUUGGACACCGAGCCUCUGUAAAGCUCCUUCGACGAGUCGAGUAGUUUGGGAAUGCUGCUCUAAAUGGGAGGUAUAUGUCUUCUAAAGCUAAAUAUUGGCCAGAGACCGAUAGCGCACAAGUAGAGUGAUCGAAAGAUGAAAAGCACUUUGAAAAGAGAGUUAAAAAGCACGUGAAAUUGUUGAAAGGGAAGCGCUUGUGACCAGACUUGGGCUUGGUUAAUCAUCCGGCGUUCUCGCCGGUGCACUUUUCCAGUCCAGGCCAGCAUCAGUUUGCCUUGGGGGAUAAAAGCUUCGGGAAUGUGGCUCCUCCGGGAGUGUUAUAGCCCGUUGCACAAUACCCUGGGGCGGACUGAGGUUCGCGCAUUCGCAAGGAUGCUGGCGUAAUGGUCAUCAGCGACCC